GACGAACGCUGGCGGCGUGCCUAAUACAUGCAAGUCGAACGCAGUGGGGACGGGUGAGUAACACGUGGGUAACCUCCCAUCAGAGGGGAUAACACUUGGAAACAGGUGCUAAACCGAUACUGAUGGAUGGACCCGCGGUGUAUUCGCGAGUUGGUGAGGUAACGGCUCACCAAGGCCACGAUGCAUAGCCGGCCUGAGAGGGUGAUGGGCCACACGGGGACUGAGACACGGCGCAGACGCCGACGGGAGGCAGCAGUAGGGAAUAUUGGGCAAUGGACGAAAGUCUGACCGAGCAACGCGGCGUGAGUGAAGAAGGUUUUCGGAUCGUAAAGCUCGGUUGUGAGGGAAGCGGUAUCUAACCAGAAAGCCACGGCUAACUACGUGCCAGCCGCAGCGGUAAUAC
rnacentral:rRNA from 1 species